rnacentral:lncRNA from 1 species
ACAUAUGGGUAAGUCUAGACAUGGGGGAAUUCUCUCGGGAGCAAUAUUAACUAUACAUAGGGGUAGGAGGACCGAUUGCCUUAAGCUUCUCUGCAAAUGUAAUGCAUAAUCAUUUGCUAGGGAGACAAGACAUUGUAAACUAGUAAUUAGGAGUAGACUCUCUUCACUGAGACAUCGGAUUUAGAGUAAAUUAGAAAGUGACAUUGACAUUAAUGAAAAAGUAGAAUUCUUAAAUAUAUGAGAGUGGAUUAGGAUAAAGUCGGAAACCCCAACAACAUAAUUCAUUCAUAUCAUUCAACUGCGUAAUUUCUUGGUCAAUUGAUCAACCUUUGCAUACAUGUUUAUUUUUGUUUUUGCAUUCUAAAACGCCAAUUUUCAUUUCAUAAGUCUUAAAUAAUCAACAAAUCACAUUAAAGUUUAGGC